rnacentral:rRNA from 1 species
UUAAGCGACUAAGCGUACACGGUGGAUGCCCUGGCAGUCAGAGGCGAUGAAGGACGUGCUAAUCUGCGAAAAGCGCCGGCGAGGUGAUAUGAACCUUUGACCCGGCGAUGUCCGAAUGGGGAAACCCAGUGUGAUUCGUCACACUAUCGUUAACUGAAUACAUAGGUUAACGAGGCGAACCGGGGGAACUGAAACAUCUAAGUACCCCGAGGAAAAGAAAUCAACCGAGAUUCCCCCAGUAGCGGCGAGCGAACGGGGAGCAGCCCAGAGUCUGAAUCAGCUUGUGUGUUAGUGGAAGCGUCUGGAAAGUCGCACGGUACAGGGUGACAGUCCCGUACACGAAAGCACACAGGUUGUGAACUCGAAGAGUAGGGCGGGACACGUGGUAUCCUGUCUGAAUAUGGGGGGACCAUCCUCCAAGGCUAAAUACUCCUGACUGACCGAUAGUGAACCAGUACCGUGAGGGAAAGGCGAAAAGAACCCCGGCGAGGGGAGUGAAAAAGAACCUGAAACCGUGUACGUACAAGCAGUGGGAGCACCUUCGUGGUGUGACUGCGUACCUUUUGUAUAAUGGGUCAGCGACUUAUAUUCUGUAGCAAGGUUAACCGAAUAGGGGAGCCGAAGGGAAACCGAGUCUUAACUGGGCGUUAAGUUGCAGGGUAUAGACCCGAAACCCGGUGAUCUAGCCAUGGGCAGGUUGAAGGUUGGGUAACACUAACUGGAGGACCGAACCGACUAAUGUUGAAAAAUUAGCGGAUGACUUGUGGCUGGGGGUGAAAGGCCAAUCAAACCGGGAGAUAGCUGGUUCUCCCCGAAAGCUAUUUAGGUAGCGCCUCGUGAAUUCAUCUCCGGGGGUAGAGCACUGUUUCGGCAAGGGGGUCAUCCCGACUUACCAACCCGAUGCAAACUGCGAAUACCGGAGAAUGUUAUCACGGGAGACACACGGCGGGUGCUAACGUCCGUCGUGAAGAGGGAAACAACCCAGACCGCCAGCUAAGGUCCCAAAGUCAUGGUUAAGUGGGAAACGAUGUGGGAAGGCACAGACAGCCAGGAUGUUGGCUUAGAAGCAGCCAUCAUUUAAAGAAAGCGUAAUAGCUCACUGGUCGAGUCGGCCUGCGCGGAAGAUGUAACGGGGCUAAACCAUGCACCGAAGCUGCGGCAGCGACACUAUGUGUUGUUGGGUAGGGGAGCGUUCUGUAAGCCGUUGAAGGUGUGCUGUGAGGCAUGCUGGAGGUAUCAGAAGUGCGAAUGCUGACAUAAGUAACGAUAAAGCGGGUGAAAAGCCCGCUCGCCGGAAGACCAAGGGUUCCUGUCCAACGUUAAUCGGGGCAGGGUGAGUCGACCCCUAAGGCGAGGCCGAAAGGCGUAGUCGAUGGGAAACAGGUUAAUAUUCCUGUACUUGGUGUUACUGCGAAGGGGGGACGGAGAAGGCUAUGUUAGCCGGGCGACGGUUGUCCCGGUUUAAGCAUGUAGGCGGAACGAUUAGGUAAAUCCGGUCGUUUAUUAACGCUGAGGUGUGAUGACGAGGCACUACGGUGCUGAAGUAACAAAUGCCCUGCUUCCAGGAAAAGCCUCUAAGCAUCAGGUAACAUCAAAUCGUACCCCAAACCGACACAGGUGGUCAGGUAGAGAAUACCAAGGCGCUUGAGAGAACUCGGGUGAAGGAACUAGGCAAAAUGGUGCCGUAACUUCGGGAGAAGGCACGCUGAUAUGUAGGUGAAGCCCCUGCGGGUGGAGCUGAAAUCAGUCGAAGAUACCAGCUGGCUGCAACUGUUUAUUAAAAACACAGCACUGUGCAAACACGAAAGUGGACGUAUACGGUGUGACGCCUGCCCGGUGCCGGAAGGUUAAUUGAUGGGGUUAGCGGCAACGCGAAGCUCUUGAUCGAAGCCCCGGUAAACGGCGGCCGUAACUAUAACGGUCCUAAGGUAGCGAAAUUCCUUGUCGGGUAAGUUCCGACCUGCACGAAUGGCGUAAUGAUGGCCAGGCUGUCUCCACCCGAGACUCAGUGAAAUUGAACUCGCUGUGAAGAUGCAGUGUACCCGCGGCAAGACGGAAAGACCCCGUGAACCUUUACUAUAGCUUGACACUGAACAUUGAGCCUUGAUGUGUAGGAUAGGUGGGAGGCUUUGAAGUGUGGACGCCAGUCUGCAUGGAGCCGACCUUGAAAUACCACCCUUUAAUGUUUGAUGUUCUAACGUGGACCCGUAAUCCGGGUUGCGGACAGUGUCUGGUGGGUAGUUUGACUGGGGCGGUCUCCUCCCAAAGAGUAACGGAGGAGCACGAAGGUUAGCUAAUCCUGGUCGGACAUCAGGAGGUUAGUGCAAUGGCAUAAGCUAGCUUGACUGCGAGAGUGACGGCUCGAGCAGGUGCGAAAGCAGGUCAUAGUGAUCCGGUGGUUCUGAAUGGAAGGGCCAUCGCUCAACGGAUAAAAGGUACUCCGGGGAUAACAGGCUGAUACCGCCCAAGAGUUCAUAUCGACGGCGGUGUUUGGCACCUCGAUGUCGGCUCAUCACAUCCUGGGGCUGAAGUAGGUCCCAAGGGUAUGGCUGUUCGCCAUUUAAAGUGGUACGCGAGCUGGGUUUAGAACGUCGUGAGACAGUUCGGUCCCUAUCUGCCGUGGGCGCUGGAGAAUUGAGGGGGGCUGCUCCUAGUACGAGAGGACCGGAGUGGACGCAUCACUGGUGUUCGGGUUGUCAUGCCAAUGGCACUGCCCGGUAGCUAAAUGCGGAAAAGAUAAGUGCUGAAAGCAUCUAAGCACGAAACUUGCCCCGAGAUGAGUUCUCCCUGAGACUUUAAGUCUCCUGAAGGAACGUUGAAGACGACGACGUUGAUAGGUCGGGUGUGUAAGCGCAGCGAUGCGUUGAGCUAACCGAUACUAAUGAACCGUGAGGCUUAACCUU